CGGCGAGCGAGCGGGAAGAGCUCAAAUUUGUAAUCUGGCGUCCUCAGGGCGUCCGAGUUGUAAUCUAUAGAGACGUUUUCCGUGCCGGACCGUGUCCAAGUCCCUUGGAACAGGGUAUCAAAGAGGGUGACAAUCCCGUACUUGACACGACGACCGGUGCUCUGUGAUACGUUUUCUACGAGUCGAGUUGUUUGGGAAUGCAGCUCAAAAUGGGUGGUAAAUUCCAUCUAAAGCUAAAUAUAGGCGAGAGACCGAUAGCGAACAAGUACCGUGAGGGAAAGAUGAAAAGCACUUUGGAAAGAGAGUUAAACAGUAUGUGAAAUUGUUGAAAGGGAAACGAUUGAAGUCAGUCAUGUCCAUUGGAUUCAGCUGGUUCUGCCAGUGUAUUUCCUUUGGACGGGUCAACAUCAGUUUGAGCCGGCGGAUAAUGGCAGAGGGAAUGUGGCACCCCCGGGUGUGUUAUAGCCCUUUGUCGCAUACGUCGGCCCAGACUGAGGAAUGCAGCUCGCCUUUAUGGCCGGGGUUCGCCCACGUACGAGCUUAGGAUGUUGGCAUAAUGGCUUUAAACGACCCGUCUUGAACCACGGACCAAAA
rnacentral:rRNA from 1 species